UUUUUUUUUUUGGGUUUCCCUCCCUCUCACGUUUUCACUGUUUUGUUUUGCUCCCCAAACCCUUAAUUCCUUAAACACUUUCUACAGUUCUACCUCUUUUAGUUCGAUUUCUUCCUCUUCGCCGUUCUCCUUCAUCCUUUUCAUCAUCAUUCUUUGGAGAUUUGCGUUUCUGAAUUGUUGAUUGGGUCUUGGAGAUAAGAGAAAUUGGUGAAUGGGUCUUUGAAUUGGAGAUGAGAGACAUUGGAGAAUCGUGUUUCUGAAUUGGCGAGAAGAACAAGGUUAUUUGUUUGGGAGGUCAAAGCAGCUAAUAUAACUAUUAGUCCUGCUCACCGUGCUACAGUUCGUGAAGUUGAUUCUAACAAGGGAAUUUCACUCCAGUUUCCACGUUUGGUUCGUCUUAGAGCAGAUAAAGCUCCAGAGGACGCAACAUCAUAUGUUCAAUUGCUGCAAUGGAAGCAUUUGUUGGGCUCUAUCUAGAACUUGGUUUGGGUGGUAGAUAAAAGGAUGGCAUGAAGGGAAUAGAUUGAAGUUCUUUUGGACUGAUUUGGACAAAUAAAUUAAAUACUACAUAGAUUUUAGAUUGCUUAAACUAAUACUCCGUAGUUUUCAUAUUAUAACAAUGGUUUUCGUUAUUAGAAUGGUUUUUAUGGAUAUUUUAUUUUAAUAAUAAGUAAAACUUAAUUCGAAAUAAA